UUGCCAACCGCCCAUAAAACCCAAUAGAAGAAGAAGAGACAGGAAACCGACGCAAACAUGGGACUGAGCUCAACUCCUGCGACUGAGUCCGGAGAAGACGCGAGGAUGUUUAAAUCAGAAGCUCCGGUGUCUUUGCCCAAACACUCGUACUGGUUUGACUUCUGGGUGUUUGUACUCUUCGACAUCGCCUUCUUCCUCGUCAUGUAUUUCAUCGUCCCGUAGCCACAGGUUUCACUUUCCAAGACCCAGAAGUAUUUGAUCUAUUCGGUACUCACCGUUUGUCUCCUGGGCUGUGGAGCCUGAAGACACUGAGUGCUGGUCCCGCCCUGUCGUGAAGAAUGCUAACCCAGCUUUGACUGACUUCUGCUGCUGUGUUAUCUAAAACAACAUCUCAUGGUUCCACGCCUCGCACCGCGUACCCGCAGGUUUUAUACACGCAGCCUCCUGCUUUCAUAUCAAAGAUUUGAACCACACAACUCCCUCCUCCUGUGACCUGUUGCCAGCUGCUGUAACUUCACGUGUGGAUUUAUUUCGUUGCCACGUGGAAGAGAAACAUUUGAAAUAUUUAUGAUUGAUUGAAAAGUGGCAAUGGCAUCAUCAGGACUUGGAUACUGAACAUGUAAUAUCACUCAAAUUCUAUUUUAAGUAUUCUCAUUAAUAUAGAUGUAACCCAGUAGAGUGAAACUGAGCAAGAUGUCACUGAAACAAAAUUAAUGUUGACACAAAGUGAUUGUAUCAUAUUUUACGUGUUUUACAUGAAUGUCUCCAAAUAUUUUGAUCAACACCUGAGUCCUGGAAAGAAACGAUCAAUCUCAACCCUAACAGGUUUGAUGAGAUCAAGAUGAUCCAGUGUGGGGUCACUUAAGAAUGAGGUCAAAAAUUUUAACUCACAUGUGUAGUUUCGCUGCACUAAAAUGAUGAAAGUUUGCACAGGGAAAAUACUGCAAAUAAAGUGUUUAUACCAACCCCUCA